rnacentral:sRNA from 1 species
GUGGCUUUGCUUUGCUUGGCCAAAGCAAAAACCGAAUUUCGUUGACCAAAAAUACGUACAGUGUGUAGACAGACAAAAAACAUGAGCACUUAAGGUGUUGUUGUCGUCGGUUUGAAUGUAUAAUUACAGCAAUCGGUUUUGCGGUCAUGUGAACCUGGGCAAACAUUUAAAUAUCUGUAGCAGGCAGGGAAGUGAAACGUUCAGCCUUGAUUGCCUCGCAUGUUUCAACAAAUAUUCUGUCAGCCGGACAAUGCCUCAUAUUUGUGCUGUUUCUGAAAGGCAUUCUACGAACUAUAGUACAUCUGGGAUUGUCACACGCAAAAAAAGGUCAAAGAGUUCGCCAACCCAUUCUAAUUUUAGCAGUGACUAUGCUGUUUUAGAGUGUGGAACACAAUGGAAAACAGAUUCAAAUUGUUUUUUGUUGGGAAAAGCAAACUAAUAAAUAUGUUAUAAUUCUAUAAAGAUACAUCAAAGCUGUAUCGAAUUAAAUUUCACAUAUUAGCCGGCCUGAAGCUGAGUGAAAAAUUUGUGCAGAUGCUCUCAGAGUUUCCCGUACAUGGCUCCAAAUUCCAUUGGAUUAUGCUGCCUGUCGUUGAUAUGCGAGCUCCUCUGCAUUUUCAUUUGAAUUGCAAUUGUGGCGCAGCAGGAGAUGUGCCAGACCAGCAGAUUCCGGGCUGAUGCCAGUGCCCAGAUAGCUGGGCAUUUUGUCGUUCAUUAAAUGAAGACGUUGCCAUUCCAUGGGAUGCACUCAAUGAACAAUAUAUACCAUAUGUCUGAUUUAUGA